GAUGAACGCUGGCGGCGUGCCUAAUACAUGCAAGUCGAGCGAACAGACGAGGCGCUUGCUGCUCUGACGUUAGCGGCGGACGGGUGAGUAACACGUGUAUCACCUACCUAUAAGACUGGGAUCACUUCGGGAAACCGGAGCUUAUACCGGAUAAUAUCUUGCACCGCAUGGUUCAAUAGUGAAAGUCGGUGUUGCUGUAUCUUCUAGCUGGAUACGGGCUGCAUUAGCUGGUUGGUAAGGAAACGGCUUACCAAGGCGACGAUGCGUAGCCGACCUGAGAGGGGGGUCGGCCACACUGGAGCGGAGACGCGGUCCAGACUCCUACGGGAGGCAGCAGUCGGGAAUCUUCCGCAAUGGGGGAAAGCCUGACGGAGCAACGCCGCGUGAGUGAUGAAGGUCUUCGGAGCGUAAAGCUCUGUUAUGAGGGGAGAACAAAUUUGUAAGUAACUGUGCAGUUCGUGACGGUACCGGGUCAGAAAGCCACGGCUAACUACGUG
rnacentral:rRNA from 1 species